rnacentral:rRNA from 1 species
GAUGAACGCUGGCGGCGUGCCUAAUACAUGCAAGUCGAGCGAACAGACGAGGAGCUUGCUCCUCUGACGUUAGCGGCGGACGGGUGAGUAACACGUGGAUAACCUACCUAUAAGACUGGGAUAACUUCGGGAAACCGGAGCUAAUACCGGAUAAUAUAUUGAACCGCAUGGUUCAAUAGUGAAAGACGGUUUUGCUGUCACUUAUAGAUGGAUCCGCGCCGCAUUAGCUAGUUGGUAAGGUAACGGCUUACCAAGGCAACGAUGCGUAGCCGACCUGAGAGGGGGAAUGGGCCAACGGGGAAAUGGAAACAGUCCCGAACCCCAAGGGGGGGCAAGAGAGGGGAAUCUUCCGAAUGGGGGAAAAGCCUAACGGGGAAACCCGGGGUGGGGGAGAAGGGUUUUGGAAUCUAAAAACUUUUUUUUAGGGAAAAAAAAAAGUUUAAAUAAAUAUGCACGGUUUUAAGUGUCCCAAAUAAAAAAGCCAGGGCAAACUCGGU